CCUACGGGGGGCAGCAGUGAGGAAUAUUGGUCAAUGGACGAGAGUCUGAACCAGCCAAGUAGCGUGAAGGAUGAAUGCCCUAUGGGUUGUAAACUUCUUUUAUAUGGGAAUAAAAUGUUCCAAGGGGGGGAUUUUGUAUGUACCAUAUGAAUAAGGAUCGGCUAACUCCGUGCCAGCAGCCGCGGUAAUACGGAGGAUCCGAGCGUUAUCCGGAUUUAUUGGGUUUAAAGGGAGCGUAUGUGGAUUGUUAAGUCAGUUGUGAAAGUUUGCGGCUCAACCGUAAAAUUGCAGUUGAAACUGGCAGUCUUGAGUACAGUAGAGGUGGGCGGAAUUCGUGGUGUAGCGGUGAAAUGCUUAGAUAUCACGAAGAACUCCGAUUGCGAAGGCAGUUCACUGGACUGCAACUGACACUGAGGCUCGAAAGUGUGGGUAUCAAACAGGAUUAGAUACCCCAGUAGUC
rnacentral:rRNA from 1 species